rnacentral:rRNA from 1 species
CCCUUAGAUGUCCUGGGCUGCACGCGUGCUACAAUGGUACGUGCAACGAGUUAAUCCUGCUCUGAAAGGAGUGGGUAAUCUUAUGAAUGCGUAUCGUGCUUGGGAUUGACCAUUGUAAUUAUUGGUCAUGAACGAGGAAUUCCUAGUAAGCACAAGUCAUCAGCUUGUGCUGAUUACGUCCCUGCCCUUUGUACACACCGCCCGUCGCUCCUACCGAUUGAGUGUUCCGGUGAAUUAUUCGGACUGCAACAGUUAUCUGUCGCGGAAAGUCUUGUGAACCUUAACACUUAGAGGAAGGAAAAGUCGUAACA